UGAACGCUUGCGCGAAGCCCUAGGACAUC
rnacentral:sRNA from 1 species